rnacentral:rRNA from 1 species
AUUGAACGCUGGCGGCAUGCCUUACACAUGCAAGUCGAACGGCAGCGGGCCCUUCGGGGUGCCGGCGAGUGGCGAACGGGUGAGUAAUGCAUCGGAACGUACCCGGGAGAGGGGGAUAACCGGCCGAAAGGCUGGCUAAUACCGCAUGAACUCGGAAGAGCAAAGCGGGGGACCUUCGGGCCUCGCGCCCUCGGAGCGGCCGAUGUGCGAUUAGGCUAGUUGGUGGGGUAAAGGCCCACCAAGGCGACGAUCGGUAGCGGGUCUGAGAGGACGAUCCGCCACACUGGGACUGAGACACGGCCCAGACUCCUACGGGAGGCAGCAGUGGGGAAUCUUGGACAAUGGGCGCAAGCCUGAUCCAGCAAUGCCGCGUGGGUGAAGAAGGCCUUCGGGUUGUAAAGCCCUUUCGGCGGGGGAGAAAUCGGUCAGGCGAAUAGUCUGGCCGGAUGACGGUACCCGCAGAAGAAGCACCGGCUAACUACGUG